CUACGGGCUGCUCCAGUGGGGAAUAUUGCACAAUGGGCGCAAGCCUGAUGCAGCAACGCCGCGUGAGUGAAGAAGGCUUUCGGGUCGUAAAGCUCUGUCCUAUGGGAAGAAACAAAUGACGGUACCAUAGGAGGAAGCCCCGGCUAACUACGGUGCCAGCAGCCGCGGUAAUACGUAGGGGGCAAGCGUUAUCCGGAAUCACUGGGCGUAAAGGGUGCGUAGGCGGUCUAUCAAGUCAGGGGUGAAAGGCAAUGGCUCAACCAUUGUAAGCCUUUGAAACUGAUGGACUUGAGUGCAGGAGAGGUAAGUGGAAUUCCUAGUGUAGCGGUGAAAUGCGUAGAUAUUAGGAGGAACACCAGUGGCGAAGGCGACUUACUGGACUGUAACUGACGCUGAGGCACGAAAGCGUGGGGAGCGAACAGGAUUAGAUACCCCUGUAGUC
rnacentral:rRNA from 1 species